rnacentral:rRNA from 1 species
GGGUCAGUAGGUUGGUCGUGCCACCGGUACGUACUGGUCUCACUGAUUCCUCCUUCCUGAAGAACCGUAAUGCCAUUAAUUUGGUGUUGAGGGGAAACAGGACUGUUACUUUGAAAAAAUUAGAGUGUUUAAAGCAAGCUAACGCUUGAAUACAUUAGCAUGGAAUAAUGAAAUAGGACGAUCGAUCCUAUUUUGUUGGUUUCUAGGAUUGACGUA